rnacentral:rRNA from 1 species
UACAGAGGGGGCAAGCGCUGUUCGGAAUUACUGGGCGUAAAGGGCGCGUAGGCGGCCCUCUAAGUCGAACGUGAAAUCCCUGGGCUCAACCCAGGAACUGCGUCCGAGACUGGGGGGCUAGAAUCCGGGAGAGGGAUGUGGAAUUCCAGGUGUAGCGGUGAAAUGCGUAGAUAUCUGGAGGAACAUCGGUGGCGAAGGCGGCAUCCUGGACCGGUAUUGACGCUGAGGCGCGAAAGCCAGGGGAGCAAACGGG